GGGCCUAUAGCUCAGCUGGCUAGAGCGCUCGACUGAUAAUCGUGAGGUCUCAGGGUUCAAGUCCUGAUAGGCCCACCA
rnacentral:tRNA from 1 species